CCCCUUGUCACUGAAAAACAUGCAUUUCACAGUAUACAUUAUCCAAAGUGGCAGAAGAUAGUAAAAUAAUCAAUUGAAAAAUUAGAAUACCCAUCAGACUAACAAGGUAUUAGUCUACCCAAAUCAUGUUUUUUAAUCAAUUGCAUUACAAUAACAACAAUUAUUCAUAAACCCAUUAAAAUAAUAAUAAUAAUAAUAAUAAUAAUACUUUUUCUUGCUGUGACCACCAUGAUCAUUUUUGAAGGUCACAUGUCAUUGGUGCAUCCACGUGAAUCACCAGCUGUCUGAAUUAUAAUUGUCUUAUUAAAAAUUUCUACUCCACAAACCACAACCCAGUACGACCCAAAUUUAACGCGCUCAGAGUCACAAGGCAAGCUAGUGAUCCUUGAAAUAUCUGCCACACCCAAGGCUCAAAACGGUGUCGUUAUCGUCUAGUUGGCCGGUAGUAGUGGUGCUUCUGCAGCAUGUUUGGCACAUGAGAGAGAAAAUCUCGAGGGCCCAUAUGUGGGAUCGUGAAAAGAUUCGUCCCAGUUCAGUGAAUACUCUGAGAUCGAUUCUCGGCCAUUCAUCUCAAGUGGAUGUAACCUCGACCAAUCUCUACCGUGCAUUGCUUUGACCAAUAAAAAAA
rnacentral:lncRNA from 1 species